GUUUAAAACAAGAUAAGUCGUAACAUAGUAGCCGUACCGGAAGGUGUGUCUGGUAA
rnacentral:rRNA from 1 species